CUCUUUUAGAAAAAAAUAAAAGUAUAUUCUGCUAAUGAUUAAUUAAAUAGCUACAUAAUUUGUACUAAGGUAGCAUUAUCAAUUGUCUAUUAAAUGUGGUCUUGUAUGAAAGAAUAAAUAAUUAAUUUCUUUAUUUUUAAUAUUUUUUGAAUUUGAACUUUUAGUUAAAAUGCUAAAAUGAAUUAUAGGGACAAGAAGACCCUAUAAAGCUUUUAAUAAUAAUUAUGAUAUUUAUUAUAUUUAAUUUUUAAUUGGGUUAAUUAUUUAUGAAUAAAAUAUAGAUUUAAAUAUAUUAAUUUAUAAGGAUCCUAUAUUAUAGAAAAUUGAAUAAGUUACUUUAGGGAUAACAGUAUAAUUUUUAUUUAUAAGUUCAAAUUUACAAUAAAGAUUGUAACCUCGAUGUUGAAUUAAUUUUAUUAUAUGGAGAAGGAUCUAUAUUAUAAUUUGACUGUUUGUCGAUUAAAAAAUUACA
rnacentral:rRNA from 1 species